CCUACGGGAGGCAGCAGUGGGGAAUAUUGCACAAUGGGGGAAACUCUGAUGCAGCCACGCCGCGUGAGUGAUGACUUAACUCGUUAUGUAAAGCUUCAUCAGCAGGGAAGAAAAUGAUGGUACCUGAGUAAGUAGCUCCGUCUAACUACGUGCCAGCUGCCGCGGUAAUACGUAGGGGGCAAGCGUUAUACGGAUUUACUGGGUGUAAAGGGAGCGUAGACGGCAGUGCAAGUCUGGAGUGAAAGUCGGGGGCUCAACCCCCAGACUGCAGUGGAAACUGUACGGCUGGAGUGCAGGAGAGGUAAGUGGAAUUCGUGGUGUAGCGGUGAAAUGCGUAGAUAUUAGGAGGAACACCGGUGGCGAAGGCAGCUUACUGGACUGUAACUGACGUUGAGGCUCGAAAGCGUGGGGAGCAAACAGGAUUAGAUACCCCUGUAGUC
rnacentral:rRNA from 1 species